GUGGAUUAGAUACCCUGGUAGUCCACGCCCUAAACGAUGCUGACUAGUUGUUCGGGAUUUACAUCCUGAGUAACGUAGCUAACGCGUGAAGUCAGCCGCCUGGGGAGUACGGUCGCAAGAUUAAAACUCAAAGGAAUUGACGGGGACCCGCACAAGCGGUGGAUGAUGUGGAUUAAUUCGAUGCAACGCGAAAAACCUUACCUACCCUUGACAUGUCACUAACGAAGUAGAGAUACAUUAGGUGCCCGUAAGGGAAAGUGAACACAGGUGCUGCACGGCCGUCGUCAACU
rnacentral:rRNA from 1 species